GACGAACCGAGCGAACGUUAUUCGGAAUCACUGGGCUUAAAGGGCGCGUAGGCGGGCCGUCAAGUCAGGGGUGAAAUCCCACGGCUCAACCGUGGAAGUGCCUCUGAUACUGGGGGCCUCGAGGGAGGUAGGGGCGUGCGGAACUUCCGGUGGAGCGGUGAAAUGCGUAGAUAUCGGAAGGAACAUCGGUGGCGAAAGCGGCGCGCUGGACCUCUUCUGACGCUGAGGCGCGAAAGCCAGGGGAGCAAACGGG
rnacentral:rRNA from 1 species